UACCAUGGUGGUAACGGGUAACGGGGUGUUAGGGCACGACACCGGAGGGGGAGCCUGAGAAACGGCUACCACAUCCAAGGAUGGCAGCAGGCGCGCAAAUUACCCAAUCCCGACACGGGGAGGUAGUGACAAUAAAUAACAAUACGGGGUUCUUUAGGAUCUCGUAAUUGGAAUGAGUACAAUUUAAAUCUCUUAACGAGGAACAAUUGGAGGGCAAGUCUGGUGCCAGCAGCCGCGGUAAUUCCAGCUCCAAUAGCGUAUAUUAAAGUUGUUGCAGUUAAAAAGCUCGUAGUUGAAUUUCGGGGUCAGUAGGUCGGUCGUGCCACUGGUAUGAACUGGUUUUACUGAUUCCUCCCUCUUGAAGAACUGUAAUGCCAUUAAUUUGGUGUUGCAGGGAAUCAGGACUGUUACUUUGAAAAAAUUAGAGUGUUUAAAGCAGGCUUUAGCUUGAAUACAUUAGCAUGGAAUAAUGAAAUAGGACGUUUGAUCCUAUUUUGUUGGUUUCUAGGAUUGACGUAAUGAUUAAUAGGGAUAGUUGGGGGCAUUAGUAUUCAAUUGUCAGAGGUGAAAUUCUUGGAUUUAUUGAAGACUAACUACUGCGAAAGCAUUUGCCAAGGAUGUUUUCAUUAAUCAAGAACGAAAGUUAGGGGAUCGAAGACGAUCAGAUACCGUCGUAGUCUUAACCAUAAACUAUGCCGACUAGGGAUCGGAUGAUGUUAAUUUUUUAAUGACUCAUUCGGCGCCUUACGGGAAACCAAAGUGUUU
rnacentral:rRNA from 1 species